rnacentral:rRNA from 1 species
GAUGAACGCUGGCGGCGUGCUUAACACGUGCAAGUCGAACGAUGAAGCCCAGCUUGCUGGGUGGAUUAGUGGCGAACGGGUGAGUAACACGUGAGUAACCUGCCCUUGACUCUGGGAUAAGCCUGGGAAACUGGGUCUAAUACUGGAUAUGACUUCUCAUCGCAUGGUGGGGGGUGGAAAGAUUUAUUGGUCUUGGAUGGACUCGCGGCCUAUCAGCUUGUUGGUGAGGUAAUGGCUCACCAAGGCGACGACGGGUAGCCGGCCUGAGAGGGUGACCGGCCACACUGGGACUGAGACACGGCCCAGACUCCUACGGGAGGCAGCAGUGGGGAAUAUUGCACAAUGGGCGCAAGCCUGAUGCAGCGACGCCGCGUGAGGGAUGACGGCCUUCGGGUUGUAAACCUCUUUCAGUAGGGAAGAAGCGAGAGUGACGGCACCUGCAGAAGAAGCGCCGGCUAACUACGUG